GCUACGGGAGGCAGCAGUGGGGAAUAUUGCACAAUGGGGGAAACCCUGAUGCAGCGACGCCGCGUGAGUGAAGAAGUCAUUCGUUAUGUAAAGCUCUAUCAGCAGGGAAGAAAAUGACGGUAUCUGAGUAAGAAGCCCCGGCUAACUACGUGCCAGCAGCCGCGGUACUACAUGGGUGGCACGCGUUCGCCGGAUUUACUGGGGGUAAAGGGAGCGUAGACGGCGGUGCAAGUCUGGAGUGAAAGGCGGGGGCUCAACCCCCGGACUGCUCUUGAAACUGUGCGGCUGGAGUGCAGGAGAGGCAAGCGGAAUUCCUAGUGUAGCGGUGAAAUGCGUAGAUAUUAGGAGGAACACCAGUGGCGAAGGCGGUUUACUGGACUGUAACUGACGGUGAGGCUCGAAAGCGUGGGGAGCAAACAGGAUUAGAUACCCCGGUAGUC
rnacentral:rRNA from 1 species